CCUACGGGUGGCUGCAGUGGGGAAUAUUGCAUAAUGGGCGCAGGCCUGAUGCAGCCAUGCCGCGUGUGUGAAGAAGGCCUUCGGGUUGUAAAGCACUUUCAGCGGGGAGGAAGGCGUUAAGGUUAAUAACCUUGUCGAUUGACGUUACCCGCAGAAGAAGCACCGGCUAACUCCGUGCCAGCAGCCGCGGUAAUACGGAGGGUGCAAGCGUUAAUCGGAAUUACUGGGCGUAAAGCGCACGCAGGCGGUCUGUCAAGUCGGAUGUGAAAUCCCCGGGCUCAACCUGGGAACUGCAUUCGAAACUGGCAGGCUAGAGUCUUGUAGAGGGGGGUAGAAUUCCAGGUGUAGCGGUGAAAUGCGUAGAGAUCUGGAGGAAUACCGGUGGCGAAGGCGGCCCCCUGGACAAAGACUGACGCUCAGGUGCGAAAGCGUGGGGAGCAAACAGGAUUAGAUACCCUUGUAGUC
rnacentral:rRNA from 1 species